AACGAACGCUGGCGGCAUGCCUAACACAUGCAAGUCGAACGAGACCUUCGGGUCUAGUGGCGCACGGGUGCGUAACGCGUGGGAACCUGCCCUUAGGUUCGGAAUAACUCCCCGACAGGGGUGCUAAUACCGGAUAAUGUCUUCGGACCAAAGAUUUAUCGCCCUGGGAUGGGCCCGCGUUGGAUUAGCUAGUUGGUAGGGUAAAAGCCUAACAAGGCGACGAUCCGUAGCUGGUCUGAGAGGAUGAUCAGCCACACUGGGACUGAGACACGGCCCAGACUCCUACGGGAGGCAGCAGUGGGGAAUAUUGGACAAUGGGCGAAAGCCUGAUCCAGCAAUGCCGCGUGAGUGAUGAAGGCCUUAGGGUUGUAAAGCUCUUUUACCCGGGAUGAUAAUGACAGUACCGGGAGAAUAAGCUCCGGCUAACUCCGUG
rnacentral:rRNA from 1 species